rnacentral:tRNA from 1 species
GGCGCUGUGCCCGAGUGGUCAGGGACCGGUCUGCAAUACCGGUGACGUCGGUUCGAUUCCGACCAGCGUCU